CGGGGGUGCGUGUUUGGGAUGCUUCGCUGGGUAUAUAAGCACUGGAAAGGUGGACUCGCGUCCUGACCAGAGCUUCCCCCUCCCUCAGCCAGCCCCCCCCCAGCCCUGCCUUGUGUAUCCCCCCGCUAAGCCUGACCCCUCAGCCCGGGCUGACCCCCGCGGGGGGGUGAAUGUGAAAAGAGGAGGAGGAGAGCGAAGAAGGGGUGGGGGGGCGGCAGGCACUUGUGCCGGCGCAGCCUCUCGCAUCAAGUGAGGACUAAUCCCAUCCCUGGGCCUGCUCUCUGUUCCCUUCCUGCAUUAGAGAUUGGCUAUAAGGAGAAGGCUGACGGCUGCAGCAUGAAGCGCAUUAUUACCUUGUGAUUCCAUGACCCUCCUCUAUGCAUCCCUAACUCUCGAAAGCUGAUUCAGCUUUCAGCUAGUGCUCUGGUGAGUCCUCUGCUGCAACAGAAGCUCCUAACUGGAAUUCCGAGGGGAGAAGACUACUGAAAGAUGCCUGUGGGUCAUCCUGCAAAUCCUCUGACCUCGGGAAGGGAGCAGGCUGAAAUGACCCUGAUGGUGACGCAGAGCUGUGGGUGCCACGCAUUGCUCAGACUCUGCAGGACCAGACCUACAGCUGCUGCACUAAAUUUCAAUGUCUUCUCUUCAGAUGAUGAUGUCUGUGGACUUUCCUAUUUUUCUUGCCAAUCUAAUGUCAUAUUUCCUUCAAAUAAAACUCGGUGUGUGAGAACUCACUUCUGUUUCUCUCUUAGGAAAGGAAGGCUGCCCUGUCUGUGCAUCACCUAACAGGAAAGACCUCAGGACAAAGAGCUCAGACCCUCCAGAAAUCUUUCAGAGAGAAGCUCCAGCUCUCCCUUAUCUCUUUUAAAGUUAACACAUCACACUUUGUACAUGCUCAGCAACAAAGUUCCUAAUGUUGUUUCCCGAUAACCCAGAGGCCCGGGACAGCAAUGCUGUUGCUGUUUCAUAGAGGGCGAGAGCGGGACACUUGCUCCCCUGGCUGCCGACAAUCAGCACUUUGUGAACAUCCCACACUAGAGGUUUGCACAGAG
rnacentral:lncRNA from 1 species